rnacentral:rRNA from 1 species
CCCAGACUCCUACGGGAGGCAGCAGUGAGGAAUAUUGGUCAAUGGGCUUACGCCUGAACCAGCCAAGUCGCGUGAGGGAAGACUGCCCUAUGGGUUGUAAACCUCUUUUGUCAGGGAGCAAUUGGCGCUACGUGUAGCGUUAUCGAGAGUACCUGAAGAAAAAGCAUCGGCUAACUCCGUGCCAGCAGCCGCGGUAAUACGGAGGAUCCAAGCGUUAUCCGGAUUUAUUGGGUUUAAAGGGUGCGUAGGCGGAUUGAUAAUUUAGAGGUGAAAUGUCCGAGCUCAACUCGGGAACUGCCUCUAAUACUGUUGAUCUAGAGAGUAGAUGCGGUAGGCGGAAUGUAUGGUGUAGCGGUGAAAUGCUUAGAGAUCAUACAGAACACCGAUUGCGAAGGCAGCGCACCGGCGCCCUACUGACGCUCAGGCACGAAAGCGUGGGUAUCGAACAGGAUUAGAUACCCCCGUAU